rnacentral:lncRNA from 1 species
GCGAAGUUGUCUUCCUGGCCUUACUACCGAAUCUUGGCAAAGGAUCAAUGGGUGUGAAUCAUGGCAAUACAGUGAAAGACGGUGAUUUACUGCUUUUGAGGGCAUGCAUGGAUAUGAUUAACGGAUGGAAGUGCAGGACUCCAAGAUUUACUUCUUUCCCUUUCCAGCAGAGUUACCUGAGAGGAGUAAAAUCUGCUGGCGGGGUCACUCCAUUAUUCUUAUCUGUGGAGAUCUAGAUCUUGAUUUGAAAGUUUCUGAGAAAAUCUUCAGCUCAGACUUGAGGUCAACUUUACCAACUGAAGGAUCUGCAUUUACUGCUCAACCACAACUAAUUUGAUGCCCUCUGCAGAUUUAAAAUGUGUGCCUUCUUUUCCAUCAUCAAGUCAUCCCUGGGUUACUACUGAACAUCUUUUUCAAUUCCCCCCGCCUCAUGGAUGGCUGUUCUCCACUGUCUAUUUCACCAGAUGUCCUCAAAACAAACAGACAGAAGAAGGAAGUGGCUAAUGGUAAGAAUUUUUUCUCCCUCUAGAAAAUUUUUAAUGCAUUUACU